GGAGACGCUCUAGCUGCCCGCAAGUUGGCAGUUGUGAAGUGCGGUGGUGGUGGUAAGUGUAGUGGUGGUGGCGACGGCGUCGUCUGGGGAGGCUCCUGCAUGGUCUGAUGCUGUGUGACCCGAACGCCCCGGGAACGAGGCUGCGGCCAGGGAAGGCUCUUGCUGACAGACCGUAGGAGUUCCCAGAACCAUCGCGAAUGGGCACGCUGCGGGAAAACAACCCUCACAUCUGACACCAACAGGAGGCAAGGAACUUAGCCCUAAAGGCGCCCUAGUCAUGGGAGGACUCUGAGUACUCAAACAGACUGAGUCUCACAGGUCCAGCUACACUGGAGACGGUUCGGUUCUAAGCUCGUUCUGGCGGUUGUCUCCGAAACAAGGACUCUGGCUCAGCCAACCUCUGGGAAAGUACAAAGCAAGACUCUCCUUUUCCUUCCACACCGCCAGGGACAUUUUAACAAAAGCCUGGUUCUUCCCAUGCCCAAAGGCGCCCCAUGCAUUUCCUAUUCUCCACAAUGGGUUCUGCUGCUGUCUGCUGGCUCCUCCAGGAAUAUCGAGAAGCCAAACCAUCCAGUCUUCUUGGACAGAAAACCGCAGCAGUGCAAGCAAGCCACAUCCAUCGGACUCUGCAUUCCCCACUUUACCCUUUGGAAAACCUUGAUUAGGCUGAUGGUGUGAAGCUGCCCAUAGUUGGUAAUAGGGAGUGCACUGGGAGCCUUUAGGUCUGGCCUGAAUGGUAUUUUUGGCCAGGUUUUAAGAUCAAACACACACACACACACACACACACACACACACACACAGAGAGAGAGAGAGAGAGAGAGAGACAGAGACAGAGACAGAGACAGAGAGACAGAGAGAGACAGACAGAGAGACAGACAGAGAGAGAUUGAAGGGAAUGGAGAGUCAAAAGCAGAUAUUUGAGUAUUGCUGUCUAAGGCUUAGAAUAUGAGCAUGUCUUAGACUAUCUUCUUGGACUGGGUAGAUCCAAUCAGUGCUUAGACCUGUACUUGUGCAUCCAACUCAAGUUAAAAGGAAUGCACAACAGGACAAGAAAGGGACCAAACUUGCUAAUGGUCUGCCAAUCACGUGUCCCCCACCUCCAUACUCUUGCUUCUAACCCAAACACUUCAGAUCACUGUCUCAGUUCUGAGAAACUCUAAGGGAUUAUGUAGCCAUUUAGUACAGGUGACUGACUAUUCAUGUGUGAGAGAGCCACAGGUGUAAUUUCAAUGGCCAUCUGACUUCCACAACUUCCUCCUUUAUAACUCAUGUCUCAUGAAAAGGUUCUGAUGAGGUCACCAGGGAGAAGGAAGGUAAAAGGCCAGCUUUCAUCUGGCAAGAAACGAAACAGCACCAGCAGCAGAGAAAGCUGCGACUCAGGAACACAAAGAACUGCGCUCAUAAUAUCAAAGAAGCACAAUUGGGUCACCUUUGUCACAGACUGGAAGAAAGUAGAAAAAGCAUAAACUGGAUUUAGAAUGUGCGUAAAGAAAAUCCUGAAGCCUAACAAUAAAGACGGUGACUCCUGCUGCUUCAAGUCCAGUGCUACUCAGAGGAUCGGCUCCCCUAAAAGAGAAAGGGAGACUGGCCUUCCAACACAACGCAGGCAGACUUCAUUGGUCUUUAUGGCAGAAUCAAAUACAACAUGGGGGGAGGACUGAUUGGACCAGUUCAGCCUUCCUUGAAGCACGGUAGAGAAGAUAAGUUAACUUUAUAGUGUUUCCCUGAGAAGCACUGAAGGGCACACCAUGAAAGCAACUGAUUAUAGCACAGGAAGAUGCUAUGGUUGUUUGAGCCUUUAUUAAGGAUUAGUCAUUUCAGCAUGACGAGCUGCCCAGGCUAUGGCUGCACAUCACUUAUGUAGGGCUCCUGGAUCUUUCAAACACUGUAUGCAUCUGAUUAGGAGGGAAACAACAUUGUUCUCGCUUGAGUAGAGAAACUGACCUUCACUGACCAGAAUUUUAUUCAUACAAAGAGGCCUUUGGCACACCAAAGCUCUAAGCUCACAUAAUCAUUCAUCAGCAAGCUGCAGUGUUAGUUCAUGUGCAAAAUCAAGAAGUCUAUCUAAGCCCAGGUACCACCUUGGUUAUUAACAGAUAACACUGGAGCUUCUGCACAAGACUAUAAUGUAAAUUUAAUGCUGAGCUGACAUUAACCAAAUACUAUUAUCAUAGCUCUUGCUGAACCUAUGUUCUAUAGAGAGCUAGCUUCAAGGCUUCUGUUUAGUCAUUUGUGCCAUGUGAGACGUUAAAUGCUCCACUUCAUAUGCAUUACCAUCUUGGUAUAGCAUUUCUAUUUUUACCCAAAUGAAAAGAAACACACACCCUUCUUUUAGGAACAAACCCCAUAUUUUGGGGGCUAUGUAAUCAGGUGAGGUUGCUGAGGUGGUGACUUGGGUCACUGGGUUCUACAUAGCCUAUUAGGGACAAAUGAUGCCCCAGCACUCAUCUUUGAGUCUGCAACCAGCUGUAUUUGAAUCUUAAUCGCUUCUGAAUAAAUUGGAAUGGAACUUAAGAUCUUGGAUACAGGACACAUUUACUCACGGCUUCCUUGGCUCCCCUUAGAUCAUGGAAUAGAGACUGGAUAUCUCUGUUUCAAGUUCUUUGGUGCCAUAUUCAACUGCAUUUACACAUAAUCAAUCUGCAAGAAUGUUUUGAAAAUGUCCUUUGGCUGUUUGAAGUUCAGGACUUGUCUAUACAGUAAGAUCACGAUUUUAUUAAAGUAAUAAUUUACAUACCUACCAUUUAAUACAUGAACACCCCUUCUAAUUCUCAGUAAAAUUAAGCCAUUACAUUUUCCUUCAUCUAUUCUAGCGAUUAGUUUGUUUCUCUCAAAAUAAAACUUACAUCAACUUCAUACACUGCAUACUAGCAACAAGAAUUCUAGAUGGAGUUUAUGGAUUUAGAAGGAUGAUUUUUUUUUUGGAUAUUUUAUUUACUUACAUUUCAAAUGUUAUCCCCUCUCCUAGUUUCCCCUCCACAAGCCCCCUAUCCUAUUCCCCUCCCCCUGUUUCUAUGAGGGUGCGUCCCCGCCCCCCAUCCACUCCCACCUCCCUGCCUUGGCAUUCCCCUACAUGGGCAUUGAGCCUUCAUAGGACCAAGGCAGAAGGGUGAUUCUUAGUUGAGAUAAAAGUUAUAUCAUGCUUUAUAUUAGUAGCAAACUCAUGACCAUUUACUCAUUAAUUCCACAGUGAUGAGGAAAUAAAUAGGUGAAAGUAAAUAAGAGAUGAUCCUCACUGAUGAAGAGUUAAAAAUAUGGUCAGAAUAUUAACAUGCACAGACAGGUAAACAAGGAAGGCAGGAGGUGUAACAAUGGGGCAUACAGAGAGCUUCAAGAGAAAGGGAAAGAUGAGUACCGUGGGAUAAGGUUGGGGAUAGUGUCACAAAAAGAUUUGAAAUCACUUAGGAUUUAUGGACAUAUAAACAAAAUAGGAAGUACACUUAUACUGGCUAGUUUUGUGUCAACUUUACACAGGCUGGAGUUAUCACAGAGAAAGGAGCUUCAGUUGAGGAAAUGCCUCCAUGAGAUCCAGCUGUAAGGCAUUUUCUCAAUUAGUGAUCAAGGUGGGAGGUCCCCUUGUGGGUGGUGCCAUCUCUGGGCUGGUAGUCUUGGUUCUAUAAGAGAGCAGGCUGAGCAAGCCAGUAAAGAACAUCCCUCCAUGGCCUCUGCAUCAGCUCCUGCUUUCUGACCUGCUUGAGUUCCAGUCCUGACUUCCUUUAGUGAUGAACAGCAAUGUAGAAAUGUAAACUGAAUAAAUCCUUUCCUCCCCAA
rnacentral:lncRNA from 1 species